CACAAAACAAACAGACACCCACGCAGCGAGAGGCGAAGUUUUAUGACGGUCAUCGAUGACGAUUGACUUGCCCGGACUCGGACUACCUACGGCAAGGAUUACAAAGGAUUGCCGAACAAUUGUAGUGCAAAUAUUUGCAUAUGCGAGAGCGUUACGCAUCCGGAAAAUGUCAAGGACGCAGCAAGUAAAGCAAAUAGAAUGGAAAGCAAAUCUGAUUUAAGAAGGGACUUAUAUGCAGGAAAUUAACUACCUGAAGAGCCAGUUGGUUAAGAUUGUUAAGUCUUACAGUUUGCCAGUAGAAGCUCCGAUGGGAAGUCAUUUAGUCAGUCAUUCAGUCAAUCAAGUGCAUUCACUUUGUUUUUCGCUUCGAGACGGCACCCCAAAACCAAAGGCCAAUUAUUACUAAUGUGAGCGAGGGGGAUGGGGGGCUGUGAGUUGAAUCGCGACGCGUUGCGUGAAAAUGUUGCACAUUUGCAUAAUGAUUGUAAUUAUCAAUAAAUAUUCAUUAGUGUGA